CAGGCGGGAAGUGACACAGCAAGGAGACUCAUAUAUAAGCGAAGGAGAAACAGGAAGGGCCCUCUUUUCCCCUCCGCUCCUGCUCCAGCAGCACGAUGUGAGCCACCGGCAAGGAGGGACGCCAAUAAGGCAUCCGAUAAGAUAAGUCUUAUAAAAUAUAUAGAUUUAUGAUAAUUAAGACUGAGCUAACAGAUGAGAAUCCUAGUCAUUGGCCAAGCAGCUUUGUGCCUAAUACAAGUUUCUGUGUAUUCAUUUGGGCCUUAACUCGGGCAGGCGGCUGGCGUAAAGCUCACAUGUGGCGGUGGGGCUCAGGCAGCCUUUGGUGGAAAGAUUUAUCAUAACAAGAGGGAGAGAGAAACAGAGAGAGAGAGAGAGAGAGAGAGAGAGAGAGAGAGAGAGAGAGGAAUCAGGAGUCUAGACGUGAAGUGGAGGAGAAAAGGAGGCCGUGCUGCCUCCUGCUUUGAGCUCUGAUAACACUGUAGCUCAGGCUAUCUUGUGCAGUGGAUGUGAGCUCACAAGGUAGGAAUCAGGUCAGUGUGGCUCAGUGUUGCCUAUUCUGUAACCCUUUUGUGUCUUUCCACUUCCUGGUAGAAGAUGAUGUAAUCAGAAGGGCUCACAAGAUUACUGGCACCUGCAUCGUGGACCUCCCUCCUUGAGAACUGUCUACAGCAAGCAUUCUGUGACAGCAGCCCCAGAAGACUAAAGCAGUCAGCUCUUGAGGUGCAAUUUCCAGCACCACAAAACACAGAAAGAGGGACCGGAGCACAUACUUUGCUACCAGCACCCACAACAGAGAGAAUCUCACCUGUCACCUUUACCCUUUUGAUGUGCUACAGUGAGUGGAUCCACAACCUUUUCAUAACAUGGAAGGAACCUGAUACACAACAUGGAAUUACAAAAUGCUAACGAGCACUUUUUCUUCUAAGGGGAAGCCUUAUGUCUUUGCUAACUGGUUGCGACUUGCAGAGGCUAUGCAAAAGGGUAGAAACCCCCCCCCCCUUUUUUUUCUGUCAUCCAACUGCAACCAUUUUAGACAAUACAACUGCAAAGCACCAGGGUAGUCACUUAGCUGUUAAGGGCAAUUUCUGCAGGUUUCUCCAUGUAACUUUUAAAGUGUGUAACUGUGGGCUCCUGUAGGCAUGGGUGAGCAUGGGUAGGCACCGUGUGAUUAUAAAGCUGCGUUUGAUUUAAAAAGUGCUGUUAUCAUUUUCUGGAACCUACCUAGCAUUUGCAGACAGUCUGAGUGAAACCUCUGCCAGCUCAACCUGGUGGCUAUCUGUGGAAAAGGAAUCAAAUCAAUCCAGCACAUGUUUAGAUACCUUACAUUUGAAAGGACUCUGCUACCCUGAGGCACACUGCUCUAUUCAUUGACAGGCAACAGUUUAUACAGUGGAAUCCAACAGAAAGCUCAUUAGCCUAAAUAUUUUCACUCUUAGAGAAAAGGGAAAUUCUAUUCUUGAAAAAUCCCAAGAAAAAAAGUUUUAUCUGCAAACAUGGUAACAAGGUAAGACUCCAUACUUUGCACAUAAGGUUACAAAGAGGGCACAAGUAUCUGCUCAUGUUCAAAAAUAAACAAGCAUUUGUUCUUGCAAAUCUGAUGUCUAAAAGACAGAUGGAUAGAAGAUAGUUGACAGACAGAUGAUAGAUAGAUAGAUAGAUAGAUAGAUAGAUAGAUAGAUAGACAGACAGACAGAUAGAUAGAUAGACAGACAGACAGAUAACAGAUGAGUGGAUAUGCUGGUUUUGAAAGUGUUAGGCUCGAAUACUAAGUCCUAAUACUCCAAGCAACAGUCUUUCCCCUUUUCUCCUAAAAAUGUGCAUACUGGAAUGAAUUACAGAGAUAUCUGAAAAUUCUUUUAAAUGAUGAAAAGCAACUAUUUUUCAAAUAAUAUCUACUUAAAAGUUUUCUUUUGGACUCGAAUUUGACAAUAUUUUCUAAAACAUAGGGCAGCCACAAGGCUCUUAGGAAAAACAAAAAUUAAUGUAAUCUUUUGGGGAGAAAUGGGCUCUGAAAGAGAAAAAUUGAGAUUUUUUUGCCUUCCUACUGUUUAAUUUAAAAAGAGGUAAACCAGUUAUUUUAUUGAAAUGUAAUCAGAAAGAAAACCACCCAGGCUUAAGACUAAACAGGUUUGUUGUCGUAUUCAUUAAUUUUGGUGGCUGCUGACAAACAGAGGAAAAUCUACAGCACUGGAUAAAAUAAUCUUCAAGGGCUUCAAUGUCUGCAGACUAUUUAAAUUCCUGACAUUGACUAUUUAUAGUAAAUGAUGGGCCUUUGACAGUAACCAUAUUUUAGGCAGGCUCUCAGCUCCCAUAGACAGAAACCCAGAGCCUGAGGAGGGAUCUUCAUAUGCUUGGCUCUCUUGGUCAUCUGGGCUGUCUUGACCAUGAGACAACCAGACACCCCAGUGUUACUGACAGUCUCUCAAGUGCCCACUCACUGUCUGGUGGCCCUUUUGCCUCUGGACAAUGGUUCAGAUCCAUUACACCCUCCAUCCUUUCAGAGGCAGCCCUGUGGGAUAGUUUUCUUUAUCCUAUAGUUAUCACCAUGAUCUCACAUCACAUGGGUUUGCAUCCUCGGGCUUCAAGAGCCUACUCUCCCCAUGAGCAGAGACAGCAUUUCUGCCACAGAUGUGACCAGUUAACUGUACAAGCAAAGAGGAUAAAUCCACGUAACAAUACUUCAUUCAGCAAGGGAAUCUGCACUGGAUUACAGUUUCUCUCUGGUUAAGUCUGGUCCUAAUUUACUGCUUUUAUUCAGUUUUCAACCACAAACGAGCCCCUUAUGAGGCAUUCACUAGGCAGAAUUGACAACUCUUUUUAUCUGCUUGAAAAAUAUUUUUGGAUAAUAAUUUAUGGUUACAAAAUAUUUUAAGCAGUUCGAACACUUACAUUCAUUCUUUCAAUGCUUAACUGGGCAGUAUCCUCCAUUUAAACAAACAAAAAAAAAAACCGAUCACUAGACAAUUUGGUAAUUUUACACACAGUAUUUGUAACAACAGAGUGAUUUGCCCACGAAGAACACAGAUUUUAAAGACAAACUCCAUGUAUUUCACGGAAAGUGUCUCUUAGAGACUUUCCUAAGCUCUUAAGUCACAUCUCAGGAGAGCAGCAGAAUCUAGAAUGCUGCCUACAGGCUCUGAAUAUGGGUGAAAGAAUAAUUUUGGCAAGCAUUGUACUUUAUUUGUGGAUUAAUGUUUAAAACGGCAUACUUUGAACACCCUAAAGGAAAACGCAUGUACUGUUCAUACUUUACACAGCAAACUAGAAGGCAAGGCCAAUUCGAACUCUUAUUCAUUAUUUAUGUAUUUAUUUUUACAAUCAAACAUUUUUCCUAAAGGUAAUUCUGAAUUGGUGCUAUCAUUUAAACGGUCCCUCUGUAAGUGCCCCUUAUCAUUGGGAGUGAGGUAUUUCCCCAGGCUGAGUACCAGUCACUAGGACUGUUUGGGAAACUGGUCCCCACCACAGGCUUGAAACACCAUCUGUGUGUGAUGAGUGGCAAUUGCCAGUACCAGGGUUGUUUGUGAAGAACAUUUUCUGGUUUUGCCAACCAGUGACCUUAUGACUACAACGGAACCCAAGCAAACUAGAAGGAAUGCAUUUUAUAAACAGAGGCAAGGAUGCAGUGUGGUUGGUGUCCUUUGGGAUGAAACUGUUGCUUUUGUAUUGCUUUAGAUCUUUAAACCAUGGGUACACAAAGCUCUGGGAGUAUUUUCCUGGCAGAAUUUGAGCAUUCCAGACUCCUUUCCCCUAUUUCUUUCUUGUGUGUUUUUUUUUAAAAAUCAGAAUAUAGCAAUUAUACAUAAUAAGGUUUCCAUUAUGACAUUUUUAUACAUGUAUAUGAGGUAUUUUCAUCAUUUCACUUCCCAUUACCCACUCUGCAUCUCUCCUACUUUGGCUGAUCCCUUUAAUCUUCCCAGUUAGCUCGUUUUCUUGUCUCUCUCUCUCUUUCUCUCUCUCUCUCUCUCUCUCUCUCUCUCUCUCUCUUUCUCUCUCUCUCUCUCUCUGUGUGUGUGUGUGUGUGUGUGUGUGUGUGUGUGUGUGUCUCCCAAUGAUUUUUGUUAUGGUCCCUUACAAGAAUGAGGGUGACAGUUUGUUUAUAGGAUCCUGGGCACCUUAGUAGUGAGUAUACCGUGGAAGAAAAUGCUAGACUCCUCGAUGGGGAGGAAUUCUUCCUGUUGUAGAACGAAGGAACUUAGGCAGACACUCAGAUGAGGUUAGACAUCCAUCUGUUUCCCUCAUCAGCCUGCAUGCUGUCUUAAGCCACAUUUUGGAGAAAGCACCUUCAGCAUUAAGAAGAAAAGACAUUGCUGUAACAAGAAGAGCUGGACAGGAUUCUCUGUGUGUCUCUUCAAGUACUAUGUGUAAAUCACAUUUUAAAAAAUCAAAUUCCGCAUAUGUUUCAUGGGUGAAAACUACAUAAAUGUGCAGUAGGAAAAUAAUGAACUGUAUCAUUUUGGUUAGUUAAGUAAUUAUUCCCUCUUUAUAGACUAUAAUUCUGCUUGAUUUUCAUUAUAAAAUGGAUGGUUUUUGUUGACUUUAUUAUUGCUGUUAGUUUGCAAUUGGGUCAAAAACAAUUUUUACUAUAAUUCUUGUCAUUUUAGAAUGUGUCACCUUUGCCUUUAAUCAGGUAGAAGGAUUUCACUGCCUCCAUGAUGUGUUAAUGAUUCGGAGGAUACUUAAUGCAAUUCCUACAUCUUUUACGUUAAAAUCGAUUCGUUAGCAAUAUUACAGCUGCCUUCUGCUAUUCAUCACAAAUAUAUUAAAGCAAAGACAAGAGUAACUUUCGUGACUAGUGAUGAAGAUUGGGGAUUGUGACAAUUUCAGUGAGCCAGCUCUGUCAUCAGGCAAAAGGCAGCUCUCAUCAACAGCUGUGUGACAAUAGGAACAAGGUUUCUUCACAGGGAGCUGGUAAUUUCUCUUGGCUUCCCUAUCAUGGUCCUUACCUUUUGCACCAGACUCUAGUACCCUGAUGCUGUCUUGUUUUCUUUCUCUCCCUGCCA
ensembl:lncRNA